rnacentral:lncRNA from 1 species
CUGCACAGUGCACUCCUGCAUGGGAAGCCUGAAGCUGACAGAAGGAUGGUUCCAGGAAUCUAGACGAGGACAAACCUGUUGUGGACCCCUUUUUGGACUUGGUCCCGUCAAAAACAGGAGGCUUUACAACUGACCGUAUCCCCUGGAAGGACAAAAAAAACAACCUGGUGAAAAACGAAUACAUAAGGAUCAAGGAAGAUGGGUUUUAUUUUCUCUAUGGACAGGUGACCCUGCAGUCUGCCAGUAAGACCUCUACUACUGUGAAAAUAAUAAAGGAGGUUGGCAAGGAUAACAAAGAACUUGUUGUGGAGGGGUCCAUUGGUGUGGGGUCGCUCUCAACCGGCUUCAUUGGUAAGAUUCUGCGCCUGGAGGCUGAUAGUAACAUUAGCAUGAGCUGUUCUAACCAUCACCUGAUCAAAACAAACAAAAAUGACAAUUUUGUCACCUUCAUGGGAAUUUAUAGACUGAAUAAAUUCUGACUGAGUGCUCCAGUGCUCUGAGGAAUGGGCCUAGAGGAUGUUAAGCCACCAGUUCACUAAGCCCCAGCUCUAGUUCUGUUCCUUUGGACUAUGAAGGUAUAGCCAUUUGUCUGUGAAGGUGUAGCCGGUGUGUCUGUGUAUCCACCAUCCCGCUCAGAAAGAGACGCUGAAAGAUGCUAGACAGCAGCAUGAUUGUUAAAGUUUUGUGAUUUAUGUGUAUCUCGCUGGAUGAUAUGUUCCAAACUAGGAGCCACACUCAUGGAUUAGCUGAUCCAAUCUGCCCAGUUCCUGCCCAGGGGCAGUAUCAUACCUGACCUCUGACCUCUAGCCCAGCAAUGGUAACAGAUUGCUUGAUCCGUCCAUCAUGAUCUUAGGAGAACCAUGCCUGAGAAAUGACAUGAUAGAUCGCACGUCCUGUCAUUAAUCAUCCAGAUGAUGUUUGAUAAUAGAACGGCACAAUGUCAUAUUCUAUUAAGCUGUUAAGCAUAAGAAAUUAGAUUUCACAUAUUUCGUUUUUAUUUCAUUUAUCCACAGUGUGAGGACAACACUUUAAAAAAGGUUAGAAAGGGCACUAGUUUUGAGACCUUUGCUUCUGAAUGCAUAAUAAUGCAAAUACAUUGAGGCCUCACUGGAAACUUCAAGAAUGUCAAGUGCACUCCCACAUUUAUGACAAUCCACCACUUGAGACUUGCCAUUGUAUGUGUGAAGUACAAACUCUGUUUUGAAAGUGGCACUGAAAAAGAGAGAAGAUGAAAAACGAGAGAAGAAAGUAGUCAUUUUUUUUUUUUACCCCCAUAUGUAUGUAUUACAGUCAGAACUGUAUGCGUAUUUGCAUCUGAUUCAUCAUUAUGCUAUGAACUGUGGAAAGUUUAUUUAUAUAAAUAUAUUUAUUUAUUUACAUAUAAUAUUUUUUGUAUACCAGUGACAUUCAAUGUUUUGAAAAAACUAAAGAUUUGUGA